rnacentral:misc_RNA from 1 species
GAUGAAGAACGUAGCGAAACGCGAUAAGUAAUGCGAAUUGCAGAAUUCAGUGAGUCAUCGAAUCUUUGAACGCACAUUGCGCCCUGUGGUAUUCCGCAGGGCAUGCCUGUUCGAGCGUCAUUUCAACCCUCAAGCCCCGCUUGGUGUUGGGCCCCGCCCGCCGUGGCCGGCCCUAAAGACAGUGGCGGCGCCGCCUGGCCCUCAGCGUAGUACAGCUCUCGCUCCAGGGUCCGGCGGCCGCCUGCCAGAACCCCCCCAACUCUGUGGUUGACCUCGGAUCAGGUAGGGAUACCCGCUGAACUUAAGCAUAUCAAUAAGCGGAGGA